GUUCCGUAGGUGAACCUGCGGAAGGAUCAUUAAUGAACUUCAAGUCGGUCGUCUGUGCUGGUGGUAACACAUGUGCACGUCGACCGCAAAUCCACACACCUGUGCACCUUUGACUUUGGGAUCCGCUGGUUGGCUUGUCUGACUUGCAGCUGGUUGACUUGUGUGUCRGCCUGGGUCUCAGGGUAUUUUUACACACUCUGAAUGUAAUGGAAUGUCACUGUGCAUAACACGCAUAAUAACAACUUUCAACAACGGAUCUCUUGGCUCUCGCACCGAUGAAGAACGCAGCGAAAUGCGAUAAGUAAUGUGAAUUGCAGAAUUCAGUGAAUCAUCGAAUCUUUGAACGCACCUUGCACCCUUUGGUAUUCCGAAGGGUACACCCGUUUGAGUGUCAUUGUAAUCUCACUCUGACAGCUUUUGUUGUCAGAUGUGGACUUGGACCCUGUCGUAUAACCAUGACUGGUCUCAAAUGCAUGAGUGCACCCUGCUUUUGCAGCGUUGUCAGUGUGAUAAGCAUCUUCACUGAUACAAGCUCCCUCUGGGACACGUCUGCAUAUGGUGGGCUCUGUGCUUCCAACUGUCUGUGGACAACCUUUGACAAUUUGACCUCAAAUCGGGUGGGACUACCCGCUGAACUUAAGCAUAUCAAUAAGCGGAGGAAAAGAAACUAACAAGGAUUCCCCUAGUAACGGCGAGUGAAGAGGGAAGAGCUCAAAUUUUGAAUCUGGUGUCUUUGUCACCUGAGUUGUAAUCUAGAGAAGUGUUUUCUGCCUCGGACCACGCAUAAAUUCCCUGGAAUGGGGUGUCAAAGAGGGUGAGAAUCCCGUUUGUGGUGUGGACUCCCUUGGCUUUGUGAUACACUCUCAACGAGUCGAGUUGUUUGGGAAUGCAGCUCAAAAUGGGUGGUAAAUUCCAUCUAAAGCUAAAUAUUGGCGAGAGACCGAUAGCGAACAAGUACCGUGAGGGAAAGAUGAAAAGCACUUUGGAAAGAGAGUGAAACAGUACGUGAAAUUGUUGAAAGGGAAGCGUUUGAAGUCAGUCGCAUCUGCCGGAACUCAGCCUUGCUUCUGCUUGGUGUACUUUCUGGUUGAUGGGUCAGCAUCAAUUUCGACCAAGGGAGAAAGGCUUGGGGAAUGUGACUGCCUCUGGGCAGUGUUAUAGCCCCUUGUUGUAUGUCUUGGUUGGGAUUGAGGAAUGCAGCGCGCCUUUUGGCCGGGGUUCGCGCCCUCGGUACGCGCUUAGGAUGCUGGCAUAAUGGCUUUAAGCGACCCGUCUUGAAACACGGACCAAGGAGUCUAACAUGUGCGCGAGUGUUUAGGUGUUAAACCUGGGCGCGUAAUGAAAGUGAAAGGUCGGGAUCAUGUACUUGUGCACCGACGCCCGGAGCAGACCUUCUGUGACGCAUCCGCGGUAGAGCGUAUAUGUUGGGACCCGAAAGAUGGUGAACUAUGCCUGAAUAGGGUGAAGUCAGAGGAAACUCUGAUGGAGGCUCGUAGCGAUUCUGACGUGCAAAUCGAUCGUCAAAUUUGGGUAUAGGGGCGAAAGACUAAUCGAACCAUCUAGUAGCUGGUUCCUGCCGAAGUUUCCCUCAGGAUAGCAGAAACUCAUUAUCAGCCUUGUGCGGUAAAGCGAAUGAUUAGAGGCCUUGGGGUUGAAACAACCUUAACCUAUUCUCAAACUCUAAAUGUGCAAGAUAGAGUUGUCACUUGAUUGGACUUCUCUGUGGGUGAGAGUUUCUAGUGGGCA
rnacentral:rRNA from 1 species